rnacentral:siRNA from 1 species
UCUGGUCUCUGAGUGAGCUCCUUG